UGGGGAAUAUUGGACAAUGGGCGCAAGCCUGAUCCAGCCAUGCCGCGUGUGUGAUGAAGGCCUUAGGGUUGUAAAGCACUUUCGCCGAUGAAGCUGUAGUCGGAGAAGAAGCCCCGGCUAACUUCGUGCCAGCAGCCGCGGUAAUACGAAGGGGGCAAGCGUUGUUCGGAUUUACUGGGCGUAAAGCGUACGUAGGCGGAUGAUUAAGUCAGGGGUGAAAUCCCGAGGCUCAACCUCGGAACUGCCUUUGAUACUGGUCAUCUUGAGUCCGGGAGAGGUGAGUGGAACUCCUAGUGUAGAGGUGAAAUUCGUAGAUAUUAAGAAGAACACCAGUGGCGAAGGCGGCUCACUGGCCCGGAACUGACGCUGAGGUACGAAAGCGUGGGGAGCAAACAGGAUUAGAUACCCGAGUAGU
rnacentral:rRNA from 1 species